UAUGUGGGACUCACCACCUGCUUCUACUUCCUCAGCGCUGGAAUUAAAGGGGCUUUGUUUCUUUCUCCUUUGCAGAAAGGCCACUGGGCUGAUAGUGUCCUCUUAGCAAGUAAGCUUGCCUGCAGCUGCUAAGACAGCAGUGCCCAUAAAAGUAAAAAUAAGCAUCACCAUGUCAUCCAGAAUGGCUUUCUUCAAUUCCUGAAUUGAACCAGGUCCAGUAGUUGAGUUCCUCUGCAUCGACCAGCUUGAUGUGGUUGCAGGGCAGAGGUGCCCCUACAUGCCCUAGGACACCAGAACAAGGUGAUGCUAGUUCAGUGGUUCGGUACCAUGGUGCUUGACAUCCCUGGGGGAGUCCCCAAGCAUCCUGGUAGAGUGGAGCAUGCCUACGAUCGCAGAAGUCGAGAGGUAGAGGAAACAGUAUCAGGAGCUCAAGGUCAUUCUAGGCUGUGUAGUGAGUGGUUGGAGGCUAGCCUGGGCCACCUGAGGCUAGCCUGGGCCACCUGAGGCCUUACCGCUAACAAAACAAAACAGAGACAAAACAAAAAUGGAAACAAACCCCCAGGUGGGUUAAAGCAGGGAGCUGUGGGACCAGAGUAACACACCUUUACGCAGGUGCUGGUGACAGGGACAAACUGAGGGCAAAACUAAACUCCGGGGAAUGCAGAGUGUGAGCUCCACUUUCUAUCUAUUCACACAUAGGGUUCUCUGUGUAGCCCAGGUUGUCUUGAAAUUCACUACAGCACUCAGGCUGACCCCAAACUUGUGGUUCUCUGUGUCAUCCUUACCAGUCUUGCAAUUAUGGGAAGGCAUCAUCAUGUGAGAUGAGUGAAAGGCUUGGGCCUCUGGCAUCUUCCUCUGUACCCGGCUGCCCAGCACACGUCCCACCACCCCCAAGGAAGGCCCGGGAUGAUGAUACCUGGCACCCCAGAGCUGCUCGUAGGAAUCCCAGAACCGUUGGUGACGCGGGGGCUGCUCCAGUGACAAUCAUCCUCACAUGCCCACCAAGACUGGCCUGUGGGAAGAAAGAAGCUGCCAAUGAUGGUGACACACGAGAUGGUCUUCAUUUAUGGUCUGCUUUCAACAGCUGGACCCUGGGUGCUAGAAGAGAGCCACGUGCUGAGGAAGUCGCUUCUCUUUUG
rnacentral:lncRNA from 1 species